CCUACGGGUGGCAGCAGUGGGGGAUAUUGCACAAUGGGGGAAACCCUGAUGCAGCGACGCCGCGUGGGUGAAGAAGCGCCUCGGCGCGUAAAGCCCUGUCAGCAGGGAAGAAAAUGACGGUACCUGUAGAAGAAGCCCCGGCUAACUACGUGCCAGCAGCCGCGGUAAGACGUAGGGGGCAAGCGUUAUCCGGAUUUACUGGGUGUAAAGGGGGCGCAGACGGCGAGGCAAGCCAGGAGUGAAAGUCCGGGGCCCAACCCCGGGACUGCUCAUGGAACUGCGUGGCUAGAGUGCAGGAGGGGCAGGCGGAAUUCCUGGUGUAGCAGUGAAAUGCGUAGAGAUCGGGAGGAACACCGGUGGCGAAGGCGGCCUGCUGGACUGCAACUGACGUUGAGGCCCGAAGGCGUGGGGAGCGAAAGGGAUUAGAUACCCGGGUAGUC
rnacentral:rRNA from 1 species